UACGAAGGGGGCUAGCGUUGCUCGGAAUCACUGGGCGUAAAGGGUGCGUAGGCGGGUCUUUAAGUCAGAGGUGAAAUCCUGGAGCUCAACUCCAGAACUGCCUUUGAUACUGAGGAUCUUGAGUUCGGGAGAGGUGAGUGGAACUGCGAGUGUAGAGGUGAAAUUCGUAGAUAUUCGCAAGAACACCAGUGGCGAAGGCGGCUCACUGGCCUGAUACUGACGCUGAGGCGCGAAAGCGUGGGGAGCAAACAGG
rnacentral:rRNA from 1 species